CUCGUAUAAGAUGAGUCGUCUUUUAAGCCAUUUAAAGCACUUGUAGUCGUGUUUUAUCACAUAUAAAACACUCCGCUACGCGUCGUGUUUUAUAUGUGAUAAAACACUCCCACGCGUGCUUUAAAUAGUACUUAAACCAGACUUAAUAACCUCAUUAACUAUGGUUUUGAUGACCUCAAAGUGAUGUUAGCCUUUUCAAUUCGAAAUUUCAAAUAGCAGCAUGCAAGUUCGAGUUUUUGCUUGGCUGAUAUCAAUGACUGGCUGUUAUGAUAACAAUUCUGCGUGACUUCACUUGUGAUAUAACAUAUAUAUCCUGAAUAAUCCAAGAUGGCGGACUGCUCGCAAAUUUCAGUCAAAAUUUCUUUAUUAAUUAUUUUAAAAGUUCUUUCAAACGAGGUAAAGUAAAUUUUUACUCCGAAUGUCCUUUAACCAGAUAGUAUUAAAUCCCAGUUUCUCCCUGGUUUGCGUAAACAUUUUGUAGCACUUGAUUUAGAUGACCAUAUAUAUGAUCAUCAUUUCCUUCUCCAGGACCAGGCCUUUUGAGAGCUGUAUACGUCGACUGUUCAUCGUCUACUUGUCCAUAAUUGCUGACAGGAGUAUCAUAAAUGUGUCUUGAAUUAUUUUCGUCAUUAGUGGUUUCCACAUUUGUUUCAGUGUUUGAUGAUUUGGGUCGACGAGUUUGAUAGAUAAAAUAAACGAUAAUAACAAAUGAAAUGACCAGCAGAAUUGCUAAUGCUAUAAUUCCAAUGAGGUAUUUUUCAGAAGCAUCAUCAUGAUCGACCAUGCCUGAAA